GGACCAAUGGUAUAGUGGUAACACGUUGCUCUGGAUGCAAAGAGGAAUGGUUCGAUCCCCUCCUGGUUCA
rnacentral:tRNA from 1 species